UGGGGAAUAUUGGACAAUGGGCGAAAGCCUGAUCCAGCCAUGCCGCGUGUGUGAAGAAGGUCUUCGGAUUGUAAAGCACUUUAAGUUGGGAGGAAGGGCAUUAACCUAAUACGUUAGUGUUUUGACGUUACCGACAGAAUAAGCACCGGCUAACUCUGUGCCAGCAGCCGCGGUAAUACAGAGGGUGCAAGCGUUAAUCGGAAUUACUGGGCGUAAAGCGCGCGUAGGUGGUUUGUUAAGUUGGAUGUGAAAUCUCCGGGCUCAACCUGGGAACUGCAUUCAAAACUGACUGACUAGAGUAUGGUAGAGGGUGGUGGAAUU
rnacentral:rRNA from 1 species